rnacentral:rRNA from 1 species
GACGAACGCUGGCGGCGCGCUUAACACAUGCAAGUCGAACGGAAAGGCCCUGCUUUUGUGGGGUGCUCGAGUGGCGAACGGGUGAGUAACACGUGAGUAACCUGCCCUUGACUUUGGGAUAACUUCAGGAAACUGGGGCUAAUACCGGAUAGGAGCUCCUGCUGCAUGGUGGGGGUUGGAAAGUUUCGGCGGUUGGGGAUGGACUCGCGGCUUAUCAGCUUGUUGGUGGGGUAGUGGCUUACCAAGGCUUUGACGGGUAGCCGGCCUGAGAGGGUGACCGGCAAAAUUGGGACGGGGAUACGGCCCAAACUCCAACGGGAGGCAGCAGUGGGGAAUAUUGCACAAUGGGCGGAAGCCGGAUGCAGCAACGCGGCGUGCGGGAUGACGGCCUUCGGGUUGUAAACCGCUUUCGCCGGGGACGAAGCGUGGGUGACGGUAAUGGGUAAAGAAGCACCGGCUAACUACGU